rnacentral:rRNA from 1 species
GACGAACGCUGGCGGCGUGCCUAAUACAUGCAAGUCGAGCGAAUGGAUUAAGAGCUUGCUCUUAUGAAGUCAGCGGCGGACGGGUGAGUAACACGUGGGUAACCUGCCCAUAAGACUGGGAUAACUCCGGGAAACCGGGGCUAAUACCGGAUAACAUUUUGAACCGCAUGGUUCGAAAUUGAAAGGCGGCUUCGGCUGUCACUUAUGGAUUGACCCGCGUCGCAUUAGCUAGUUGGUGAGGUAACGGCUCACCAAGGCAACGAUGCGUAGCCGACCUGAGAGGGUGAUCGGCCACACUGGGACUGAGACACGGCCCAGACUCCUACGGGAGGUAGCAGUAGGGAAUCUUCCGCAAUGGACGAAAGUCUGACGGAGCAACGCCGCGUGAGUGAUGAAGGCUCUCGGGUCGUAAAACUCUGUUGUUAGGGAAGAACAAGUGCUAGUUGAAUAAGCUGGCACCUUGACGGUACCUAACCGGAAAGCCACGGCUAACUACGUGCCAGCCGCCGCGGUAA